CGCGGGGUGGGCCGGUCAGUUAGCUCGUCGGGCUCAUAACCCGAAGGUCGCAGGUUCAAAUCCUGCCCCCGCCACCA
rnacentral:tRNA from 2 species